CAGUCGCCGCGGGAAUACGUAGGGUGCGAGCGUUAAUCGGAAUUACUGGGCGUAAAGCGUGCGCAGGCGGUUAUAUAAGACAGAUGUGAAAUCCCCGGGCUCAACCUGGGACCUGCAUUUGUGACUGUAUAGCUAGAGUACGGUAGAGGGGGAUGGAAUUCCGCGUGUAGCAGUGAAAUGCGUAGAUAUGCGGAGGAAUACCGAUGGCGAAGGCAGCCCCCUGGGAUAACACUGACGCUGAGGAGCGAAAGCAUGGGGAGCGAACAGGAUUAGAUACCCCCGUAGUCCCUGUCUCUUAUAA
rnacentral:rRNA from 1 species